UGCAAGUCAAGGGGGCCCGAAGCGCAAGCUUUGGGCAACCGGCGAACGGGUGCGAAACACGUGAGCAACCUGCCUAGGUGUGGGGGAUAGCCGGCCCAACGGCCGGGUAAUACCGCAUACGCUCAACACGAGGCAUUUCGAGUUGAGGAAACCUUCGGGGCACUAUGAGGGGCUCGCGGCCUAUCAGCUAGUUGGUGAGGUAAUGGCUCACCAAGGCUACGACGGGUAGCUGGUCUGAGAGGAUGGCCAGCCACAUUGGGACUGAGAAACGGCCCAGACUCCUACGGGAGGCAGCAGUGGGGAAUCUUGCGCAAUGGCCUAACGGCUGACGCAGCGACGCCGCGUGAGGGAUGACGCUCUUCGGAGUGUAAACCUCUUUUGCCUGGAACGAACUAUCAGCAUUCGCUGAUUUGACGGUACCGGGUGAAUAAGCACCGGCUAACUCCGUGCCAGCAGCCGCGGUAAUACGGGGGGUGCGAGCGUUGUCCGGAAUCACUGGGCGUAAAGGGCGCGUAGGUGGCAUGAUAAGGGUGUGGUGAAAGCCCGGGGCUCAACCCCGGGUCGGCCAUGCCGACUGUCACGCUAGAGUACUGUAGGGGCAGGCGGAAUUCCGGGUGUAGCGGUGGAAUGCGUAGAGAUCCGGAGGAAGACCGGUGGCGAAGGCGGCCUGCUGGGCAGUUACUGACACUGAUGCGCGACAGCGUGGGGAGCAAACAGGAUUAGAUACCCUGGUAGUCCACGCCGUAACGAUGGGUACUAGGUGCCUGGGGGAGCGACCCCUUG
rnacentral:rRNA from 1 species